rnacentral:rRNA from 1 species
GACGAACGCUGGCGGCGUGCUUAACACAUGCAAGUCGAACGGAAAGGCCCUGCUUUUGUGGGGUGCUCGAGUGGCGAACGGGUGAGUAACACGUGAGUAACCUGCCCUUGACUUUGGGAUAACUUCAGGAAACUGGGGCGAAUACCGGAUAGGAGCUCCUGCUGCAUGGUGGGGGUUGGAAAGUUUCGGCGGUGGGGGAUGGACUCGCGGCUUAUCAGCUUGUUGGUGGGGUAGUGGCUUACCAAGGCUUUGACGGGUAGCCGGCAUGAGAGGGUGACCGGCCACAUUGGGACUGAGAUACGGCCCAGAAUCCUACGGGAGGCAGCAGUGGGGAAUAUUGCACAAUGGGCGGAAGCCUGAUGCAGAAACGCCGCGUGCGGGAUGCCGGCCUUCGGGUUGUAAACCGCUUUCGACUGUGACGAAGCGUGAGUGACGGUAAUGGGUAAAGAAGCACCGGCUAACUACGUG